CAAUAGCGUAUAUUUAAGUUGUUGCAGUUAAAAAGCUCGUAGUUGGAUUUCGGGUGGGACGCAGCGGUCUCGCAUUGCGUUUGUACUGCUGCAGCCCUCCUUCUUGCCGGGGGCGGCCUCUCGGACUUCACUGUCUGGGGGUCAGAAUCGGCGGUGUUACUUUGAGUAAAUUAGAGUGUUCAAAGCAAGCUUACGCUCUGAAUAUAAUAGCAUGGGAUAACACGACAGGACUCUGGCCUAUCGUGUUGGUCUAUAGGACCAGAGUAAUGAUUAAGAGGGACAGUCGGGGGCAUUCGUAUUCCGUUGUCAGAGGUGAAAUUCUUGGAUUUACGGAAGACGAACAUCUGCGAAAGCAUUUGCCAAGGAUGUUUNCAUUGA
rnacentral:rRNA from 1 species